rnacentral:rRNA from 1 species
CGAACGGGUGAGUAACACGUGGGCAACCUGCCCAAAANAGGGGGAUAACACUUGGAAACAGGUGCUAAUACCGCAUAACCAUAGUUACCGCAUGGUAACUAUGUAAAAGGUGGCUAUGCUACCGCUUUUGGAUGGGCCCGCGGCGCAUUAGCUAGUUGGUGGGGUAAAGGCCUACCAAGGCAAUGAUGCGUAGCCGAACUGAGAGGUUGAUCGGCCACAUUGGGACUGAGACACGGCCCAAACUCCUACGGAAGGCAGCAG